UGGGGAAUAUUGGACAAUGGGCGAAAGCCUGAUCCAGCCAUGCCGCGUGUGUGAAGAAGGUCUUCGGAUUGUAAAGCACUUUAAGUUGGGGGGAAGGGCAUUAACCUAAUAAGUUAGUGUUUUGACGUUACCGACAGAAUAAGCACCGGCUAACUCUGUGCCAGCAGCCGCGGUAAUACAGAGGGUGCAAGCGUUAAUCGGAAUUACUGGGCGUAAAGCGCGCGUAGGUGGUUUGUUAAGUUGGAUGUGAAAGCCCCGGGCUCAACCUGGGAACUGCAUCCAAAACUGGCAAGCUAGAGUACGGUAGAGGGUGGUGGAAUUUCCUGUGUAGCGGUGAAAUGCGUAGAUAUAGGAAGGAACACCAGUGGCGAAGGCGACCACCUGGACUGAUACUGACACUGAGGUGCGAAAGCGUGGGGAGCAAACA
rnacentral:rRNA from 1 species